UGAAACCGUUUAGGGGUAAACCUGAGAAACCCGAAAGGUCGAAGGGAGAAAUUCAUUCGCGUCUCGCCGCGGGCUUCGAACGGUCGAGCGACGGAAGGCGAGGUUUCUCGUUUUCCGCGCAUUCCGUUCGACGAUCCUGCGACGAAUGCGUGCACUUUUCUCCUGGUAGGACGUCGCGAUCCGUCGGGUGUCGGUCUACGGUUUCGGGUGGAGCCCGUCGGUUUUCUUCGCGGUUAACUGACGGACCCCGGUGACUUGGCCGGCUCGCUCGACGGUAUAAGAAAGGUUCGAGGCCGCUCAUUCGGAGCGUUCGGCUCGCGGCAAGCGCGUCAGUUGCGUCGGCGAUCGGACCUAGUGCCGAUUCUGACCUCUGGCGACUGUUGGCUGCGAAGUUCUCGAACAGACCUCGUGACCGAUCGGCGACGCUAUAGCUUUGGGUACUUUCAGGACCCGUCUUGAAACACGGACCAAGGAGUCUAGCAUGUGCGCGAGUCAUUGGGAAUCAUUAAACCUAAAGGCGCAAUGAAAGUAAAGGUCUUCCUCGCGAAGGCCGAGGGAAGACGAGCGGUUCGCCCUUAAAAGCGACCGCUCCGCAUUCCCGGGGCGUCUCGUUCUCAUUGCGAGAAGAGGCGCACCAAGAGCGUACACGCUGGGACCCGAAAGAUGGUGAACUAUGCCUGGUCAGGACGAA
rnacentral:rRNA from 1 species